UACGAAGGGGGCUAGCGUUGUUCGGAAUCACUGGGCGUAAAGCGCACGUAGGCGGAUUGUUAAGUCGGGGGUGAAAUCCUGGAGCUCAACUCCAGAACUGCCUUCGAUACUGGCGAUCUCGAGUUCGGGAGAGGUGAGUGGAACUGCGAGUGUAGAGGUGAAAUUCGUAGAUAUUCGCAAGAACACCAGUGGCGAAGGCGGCUCACUGGCCCGAUACUGACGCUGAGGUGCGAAAGCGUGGGGAGCAAACAGG
rnacentral:rRNA from 1 species